rnacentral:tRNA from 1 species
GGUAGCACAGUGGUUAAGCGCUUGGCUGCUAACCGAAAUGUUGGUGGUUCGAAUCCACCACCU